CUACAGGAUUCCCUCAGUAAGGGCGACUGAAGCGGGAAGAGCUCACCGUGUGAAUCUGUACAGGCUUGUCCUGUGCCGAGUUGUGGUCUGUAGAAGCAUCGUCUGUUGGUGUCCCGGGCCAAGUCCUUUGGAAAAAGGCAGCAGAGAGGGUGAGACUCCCGUUCUUGCCUGGGACAUUCGACUAUAUUCGUGCCUUCGACGAGUCGAGUUGUUUGGGAUUGCAGCUCAAAGUGGGUGGUAAAUUCCAUCUAAAGCUAAAUAUUGGUAGGAGACCGAUAGCGAACAAGUACCGUGAGGGAAAGAUGAAAAGAACUUUGAAAAGAGAGUUAAAGAGUCUCAUAAAAUUGUUGAAAGGGAAGCGAUGGAAACCAGUGUUGUUUGGGCUCAUUUUUCUUGUGCUGCUUGCAGCAGAAGCGCUGUGAGUCCAGAUAGGCCAGCAUGGGUUUGGAUCGGUACAAAUUGUUUUAGUGGAGGUAGGUCUAUUUCAGGCUGAAGACACUUUUAUGCUGUACUGGUCUGGACUGAGGCAAGCUCGUGUGAUGCUGGCAAAAUGGUUUUCAUUCCCCCGUCUUGAAACACGGACCAAGGAGUCUAACAUAUGUGCAAGUAUAGGAGUGGCAAACUCCCAUGCGUAAUGAAAGUAACAGUGGUAGGACCUUAUGGGGCACUAUCCGCCGGCCACAAUCCUUCGGGAGAAAGGUCUGAGUGUGAGCAUACAUGUUGGGACCCGAAAGAUGGUGAACUAUGCCUGAAUAGGGUGAAGCCAGGGGAAACUCUG
rnacentral:rRNA from 1 species